UAUGUCAGGGAGGCGCUGGGAGCCUGCAGUGAAGGAGGAAGGCGCAGCAGCCUAGAGAGAACCGGGGAGAAGGAAGGGGGCUGCUCAGGGAGUCCCUGGGAGCGUCCCCCAGCUGCCCGCCCGGACAGGCCAGUGGCUGAGAGGAUGCAAAUGGGAAGCUAGAGCCUUUUCUUUGCAAUCCGGCCCAGGGCGGCCCCGGCUGCGGGCCAGGCUGGCUGCAGCCGCCGCGCACCGACAGGGGGGAGUCGCGGCAAAGCCCUAACCAGCCCCAGCACCGACGCCGGCUGCACGGCACCAGGGGCGGGGUCUGCUCCUGCCCGCCCCCGCCGGGCCAGGCCCCCUCCUCCUUCCCCUGCACCUGCCUCCCGCCGCGCCCCGACUCGCCGGCAGCUCCCGGGGCGCGGAGCCGGAGCCCACCAUGGGCCACCUGCGGGGCGGGAUGCGCUGCAUCAAGUUCCUGCUCUUCGCCUUCAACUUCGUCUUCUGGCUGGCAGGGUUGGCUGUCGUUGCCUUUGGACUAUGGCUGCGAUUUGGUGGGGUCCUGGGAGACUUAACUUCGGAGGAAAAAUCCCCAGAGUACUUCUACAUGGGGCUGUAUGUGCUCGUGGGAGCAGGGGCGUUGAUGAUGACAGUUGGAUUUUUUGGGUGCUGUGGAGCAGUGCGGGAAUCUCAGUGCCUGCUUGGAGCGUUUUUUGCCUGUUUGCUGGUGAUAUUUGCUGCUGAAGUCACUGCUGGAGUGUUUGCAUUUAUAGGCAAAAAAGCGGCAGUACAGGAGGUCCAGACCAUCUAUAAAGAAGCUUAUGAUGACUAUGUGAUGGACGUGGGGAAGAGCAACAAAACUCUCAUUCAGUUCCACACAGUUCUUCAGUGCUGUGGUAAAGAAAGUGAGAUUCAGGUGAAGCCCACCUGUCCAGAGGGCAUCCAGAUGCCCAAGAACUGCCUGGAUGAAAUCCAGAAUUUAAUUAACUCUAAUCUGCAGUUAGUUGGAAUCGUUGGAAUUGGAAUUGCUGGCAUCACAAUCUUUGGCAUGAUAUUCAGCAUGGUUCUCUGCUGUGCUAUCCGCAAUACAAGAGACAUGCUCUAAAACUCACUGCACAAUUUCUAUGCUCCGGGACUUCCAGACUAAACUUUACAAGAUGCAUUCUCUGAGUUUAAUAAUUGUAAUAUAUUUUUGAUUAGUGUUUUAACCAACUGGGAGGAAAAGGCCCCAUUUGCAACAUGGAGUCCGUCUGGAGAUGCCCACUUCUGCUUUUGAGAUGCACCAGUACAAGGACUGGUGCUUGCAGAAACCUUCCUUGCUUGUUUACCUCUAAGUGCCUUUUAGAAACAGAGAAGAGUGCCAGUAAGAAAAUAUAUUUCAAUAAGUUCAGACUUGAAUCAUCUUGCUUUCUAAUGAAAUAGGUUUUUUAUUCUAUACAGUGUGUUCAUAUUUAUAUACGUAACAGUUAUGUGUACUCUGGGUUCCAGUGCUAUCCAGGAAUAUUGGAUGCACUUUGUACUGAAGAUCAGGAACAUAAUGAUACCAGUUUUAUUAGUUUAAUUCUCUGGAUUAUGAUUGUGCAUCAGGCCAGGAAGCAGCAUAUUUAAAAUGUCUAUCAGUGCCUUUAACAGUGUGGCCUUCCCAUCUCGCCAUUUCAUGCUGUUGUUUUGUAGACAGUAUAUUACUGUAUUAGUAACAGUUUCCUCUAUCUUGUAUUAGCAUUUGAAGGACAUUUUACCCUUAUCCAGUGGUUACUAGCAACAGAAGGUGAAAUUACUAUUCUCUCUGCCCCUUAUAAUAAUUAUUAGGAUUCUUCUGUAGUGCUUUACAAGCAAUAACUAAUUAGACCCUUCCUUGGCAUUUCUGUGGCUGGACUGAGCAAUCCUGUUUAUAGUUCAGUUGUGGUUGAGCUAUAAAUCCAACCCUGACAUCUGGGAAGAAAAGUACCCACAGUUUCUGUGGAAAUAUUCCCCAUUCAUUGUGCUGCUUCCCCUUUGGUUUAAAUCUGGCACUCUCAUUUUAUUCCCAAGCUCUGCACUUCUGCCAGAUGGCCCAGCACUCUUCCCAACAUGCUCCAUCUGGCUGUGAGAAGGAAACUUUCUAUGGCAUCUGAAUCAAAACCACCAAAAAAUAUAGUCUGUGCUAGAAAAUCAGCACAUCAGGAUUGAAUUCACUCAACCCAAUUCUGUCCUCAGAUACAUACAUGCACGAGAACAUCCAAGGCGCCAAUAAGAUCAGGGUUCCCGCUAGACCAGUAUCCUGUCUCUGACAGUGGCCAGUACCAGCUACUUCAGAGAAAGGGGCCAGAAACAUCUGUAGCAAGCAGCAGCCAGUAAGGGAAGUUUCUUCCUAUUCCCAUCAAUUGGCUUAUUAUUCUCAUUAUUCAUAUAAUUGUCUAACAUUUUUUUAAUUGUACUGAGCUCCUGAAAUUCUCAUUGACCUCUGUAGGAGCCACAUGUGCAUAUUUGAGGGCAGAAUUUGACUAGUUUUGGUAGCCUUCUGGGGCCAAGCAGGACCUGAGUGGAGUAGAUCCCUGGAAUAUCCACGCAAUAAAGAGCUGUGUUUCAUUUCCAGUUGUCCUACUGGAAACAAGUGGGAUUGUUUCAUGGCAAAAUCUAUUCUAUCCGUACUGAAAAAGAAACAGAACUGUUAUCUGAACCCUUUUAAACCCACUUUUUGUGGCCUUUGGGAGACUAACUCCUUUAAAUUUUAUUCUUAUUAAAUGUACAUUAUAAACACAGCUCACCGUCAAAUCCUUUCCCCUUCUGUGUUGGUGCAUUACAAUGCUCCUCCCUGCUAGACCAGGAUUGUCUGAGCCACCCAUUUCCAAUAUCGAAUGCUUCUUCCUGUAUUCCAAGUGCUAACAUUAGGCAGGACUGGGACAUCAUGUUAUUGUUGUAGAGCCUAUGAGGGCAAGAGCAUUUGUCUAUAUGAGAGUUUCCCUGAGUUGUAAAUGUUGGUCAGGUGAUUGUGCUGUUGCUGAAACUAGUUUUCAUUUGACAUGUUCUGAACUGGCUUUUAUCGACUUUUCUGUACUGAAUUUAAAGAUUCUAAUAAAAAAUAACCUGAAAUAAAAGAGAAGUGGAGGAAACAA